GCACCAGUGGUGUAUGGAAUACACACCGAUCUGAUGGGCAGUAUUUAUUCGCUACUUGGUGGUGAGACGGGGUUCGAAUCCCCGCUGGUGCA